CCUACGGGUGGCAGCAGUGGGGAAUAUUGCACAAUGGGGGAAACCCUGAUGCCGCGACGCCGCGUGAGUGAAGAAGUAAUUCGUUACGUAAAGCUCUAUCAGCAGGGAAGAAAAUGACGGUGCCUGAGUAAGAAGCCGCGGCUAACUACGUGCCAGCAGCAGAGGUAAUACGUAGGGGGCAAGCGGUAUCCGGAUUUACUGGGUGGAAAGGGAGCGUAGACGGGUCGCCAAGUCUGAAGUGAAAUGCCGCAGCUGAACUGCGGAACUGCUUUGGAAACUGGCGAACGAGAUGGCGGGAGGGGUAAGCGGAAUUCCUAGUGUAGCGGUGAAAUGCGGAGAUAUUAGGAGGAACACCGGUGGCGAAGGCGGCUUACUGGACCGUAACUGACGUUGAGGCUCGAAAGCGUGGGGAGCAAACAGGAUUAGAUACCCCAGUAGUC
rnacentral:rRNA from 1 species